GAGAGUUUGAUCCUGGCUCAGGACGAACGCUGGCGGCGUGCCUAACACAUGCAAGUCGAGCGAGGAGAUUCCCUUCGGGGAUGAACCUAGCGGCGGACGGGUGAGUAACACGUGGGCAACCUGCCUUAUAGAGGGGAAUAGCCUUCCGAAAGGAAGAUUAAUACCGCAUAACAUUACAUUUUCGCAUGAAGAAGUAAUUAAAGGAGUAAUCCGCUAUAAGAUGGGCCCGCGGCGCAUUAGCUAGUUGAUGAGGUAACGGCUCACCAAGGCGACGAUGCGUAGCCGACCUGAGAGGGUGAUCGGCCACAUUGGGACUGAGACACGGCCCAGACUCCUACGGGAGGCAGCAGUGGGGAAUAUUGCACAAUGGGGGAAACCCUGAUGCAGCAACGCCGCGUGAGUGAUGAAGGUCUUCGGAUCGUAAAGCUCUGUCUUCAGGGACGAUAAUGACGGUACCUGAGGAGGAAGCCACGGCUAACUACGUG
rnacentral:rRNA from 1 species